UCCGUGUUAACCACGGCAGUCUCGCGUGAAAAGCAACACGCGAUAAGGGUUGCGCUCGUUACCCCACUGAAGGGAACAUUUCACAACACGAGCUGACGGCAACCGUGCAGCACCUGUCUAGCACCCUCGUAGGCUACCAAUGUUUCUAAAGGUAUGCAGCUAGAUUUCAAGACCUGGUAAGGUUCCCCGCUUAGCAUCGAAUUAAACCACACGCUCCACCGCUUGUGCGGGCCCCCGUCUAUUCCUUUGAGUUUUAGCCUUGCGGCCGUACUACCCAGGCGGUCAACUUAACGCGUUAGCUACGACACUGAGAGGGUCGAUACUCCCAAUGCCUAGUUGACAUCGUUUACGGCGUGGACUA
rnacentral:misc_RNA from 1 species